rnacentral:tRNA from 1 species
GCCUCUAUAGCUCAGUUGGUAGAGCACUCGUCUAGUUAACGGUCUCCAGUUCGAUUCUGGGUGGAAGUA